CAAUCUCAGUUCGGAUUGUAGGCUGCAACUCGCCUACAUGAAGUUGGAAUCGCUAGUAAUCGCGAAUCAGAAUGUCGCGGUGAAUACGUUCCCGGGUCUUGUACACACCGCCCGUCACACCACGAGAGUUUACAACACCCGAAGUCAGUGGCCUAACCGUAAGGAGGGAGCUGCCUAAGGUGGGGUAGAUGAUUGGGGUGAAGUCGUAACAAGGUACC
rnacentral:rRNA from 1 species